UCCCUACUCCUCCACUGGCUGAAGGUAUGCCGGCCGGACUACAACUACCAUAAUGACACUCCCUACUCCUCCACUGGCUGAAGGCCUGCCGGACUACAACUACCAUAAUGACACUCCCUACUCCUCCACUGGCUGAAGGUCUGCCGGACUACAACUACCAUAAUGACACUCCCUACUGCUCCACUGGCUGAAGGUCUGCCGGACUACAACUACCAUAAUGACACUCCCUACUCCUCCACUGGCUGAAGGUCUGCCCGGACUACAACUACCAUAAUGACACUCCCUACUCCUCCACUGGCUGAAGGUCUGCCGGACUACAACUACC
ensembl:lncRNA